rnacentral:rRNA from 1 species
GGUCCUACGGGGCGCAGCAGUGGGGGAUAUUGCACAAUGGGGGGAACCCUGAUGCAGCGACGCCGCGUGGGUGAAGGAGUAUUUCGGUAUGUAAAGCCCUAUCGGCAGGGAAGAAGCAAGACGGUACCUGACUAAGAAGCCCCGGCUAACUACGUGCCAGCAGCCGCGGUAAUACGUAUGGAGCAAGCGUUAUCCGGAUUUACUGGGCGUAAAGGGAGCGUAGGCGGCCUGCCAAGUCUGA